GAUGAACGCUAGCGGCAGGCUUAAUACAUGCAAGUCGAGGGGCAGCAGCUUUAUAGCAAUAUAGAGGCUGGCGACCGGCAAGCGGGUGCGGAACACGUACACAACCUUCCUUUAAGAGGGGGAUAGCCCAUAGAAAUGUGGAUUAAUACCCCGUAACAUAUCGGUGUGGCAUCACACUGUUAUUAUAGUUUCGACGCUUGAAGAUGGGUGUGCGGCUGAUUAGGUAGUUGGCGGGGUAAAGGCCCACCAAGCCUUCGAUCAGUAGCUGAUGUGAGAGCAUGAGCAGCCACACGGGCACUGAGACACGGGCCCGACUCCUACGGGAGGCAGCAGUAAGGAAUAUUGGUCAACGGACGCAAGUCUGAACCAGCCAUGCCGCGUGAAGGAUGAAGGUCCUCUGGAUUGUAAACUUCUUUUAUAGGGGGCGAAAAAAGGGAAUUCUUUCUCACUUGACAGUACCCUAUGAAUAAGCACCGGCUAACUCCGUGCCAGCCGCCGCAGUAA
rnacentral:rRNA from 1 species